UUCGCAAUGCCCGAAAGGGUGACGAAGCGACACCGCGUGGGUGAGGAAGGCCCUCGGGUUGUAAAGCCCUGUCAGGAGUUAAGAAAUGUAAGUGCGCUAAUAUCGCAUUAUUUGACGAAGGCUCCAAAGGAAGUCACGGCUAACUCUGUGCCAGCAGCCGCGGUAAUACAGAGGUGGCAAGCGUGGUUCGGAAUUAUUGGGCGUAAAGAGCACGUAGGUGGAUUUGCAAGUCAGAUGUGAAAGCCUUCUGUUCAACGGAAGAAUUGCAUCUGAAACUGCAGACCUUGAGUAUAGGAGGGGAGAAUGGAACUUCUGGUGGAGCGGUGAAAUGCGUAGAUAUCAGAAGGAACGCCGGCGGCGAAAGCGAUUCUCUGGCCUGUUACUGACACUCAGUGUGCGAAAGCUAGGGGAGCAAACGGGAUUAGAUACCCCGGUAGUCCUAGCCGUAAACGAUGGGCACUAAGUAGAGGGGUUUUA
rnacentral:rRNA from 1 species